GUGAACUAUGACCUUUGUGACUGAAGAAGAAGUUGUUUUGGUCGAUCUCGUUGUUCUUUUGGCUUUACUAGGAACCGUGGCGUGAGCACCGCGACAAACCUAUGUCACAGCGGAGCUGGCGUGACAGACCACACACCACCGUGAGUCGGCCUCGCCAAAUCCCGUUGCCGUGGUAACCGUUGCCGGGGGGAUGGAGUCGCCGGAGACGCAGUCGGAGGCGUCGAUGGUGCGCGCCGACGACGACGCCGAACAGUGGAUGACACAGGGCGGUGACGACACCGCUGAUUCGACGGGAGGUCACGAGACACU